rnacentral:lncRNA from 1 species
AGUAUUGUUCAAAGUCAUAUUUGCUGAUGGAUGUCCAAGUAGAAAUCAUACUAAAAAUCAUGUUUCCAAAGACAUGCAUUUACAAAGGGAACACAUUUUGUAUCAGUCGACAUUUCAUUUACCCUGGAACUAGAAACAUAAACUAGUGUUUGACGUGAGGAAAUAAAGACUUCAAGAAGAAGGUGGCACUGGAUUCAGAGACCUGAAUAUGGAAAAACCGACUGAGGGACACUGUCAUGGUGGGGCGCUACAAAAAACGGAAGAUGGUAUCCUGCAUGAUGAUGGAUUCAAUACAUUUACUAUACUGAAGACAGAAUAUGAUAAUUAUAUUAUGUUUCAUCUCAUUAAUGAAAUGAAUGGGGAAACCUUCCAGCUGAUGUUGCUUUAUGUGUUGAGUGGAGACUUCUUACCAGGACUCCAGCAUCAUCCCUUCCUAUCCAUACAGCAUCCCGUGACAAGUUCUGUGAUCUGAUUUCAAUCAUGUCUCACAGAGAAUUGCAAUCCCUGUCUCUCCAGCAUGCUCCUAGGAUAACUCAUCAAGAAUCAAAGACUUUCUUUAAAUUUCUCUUUGAUACACCCAUGA